CUCUGAUAAGGGCAAACCAUCCGAAAGGUUGGGACGCAAAGCCGUGGGUCUAAGGCAGUAAUGACUGCUAUGAUUGCCAGGUUGCCGGA
rnacentral:ncRNA from 1 species